GUGGGGAAUAUUGCACAAUGGGCGCAAGCCUGAUGCAGCCAUGCCGCGUGUGUGAAGAAGGCCUUCGGGUUGUAAAGCACUUUCAGCGGGGAGGAAGGCGAUAAGGUUAAUAACCUUGUCGAUUGACGUUACCCGCAGAAGAAGCACCGGCUAACUCCGUGCCAGCAGCCGCGGUAAUACGGAGGGUGCAAGCGUUAAUCGGAAUUACUGGGCGUAAAGCGCACGCAGGCGGUCUGUCAAGUCGGAUGUGAAAUCCCCGGGCUCAACCUGGGAACUGCAUUCGAAACUGGCAGGCUAGAGUCUUGUAGAGGGGGGUAGAAUUCCAGGUGUAGCGGUGAAAUGCGUAGAGAUCUGGAGGAAUACCGGUGGCGAAGGCGGCCCCCUGGACAAAGACUGACGCUCAGGUGCGAAAGCGUGGGGAGCAAACAGGAUUAGAAACCCUAGUAGUCC
rnacentral:rRNA from 1 species